AUCUAUGGCAUGAUACUCUGAACAAGCCCGAUCCCAUCUGAUCUCAGAAGCUAAGCAGGGUCGGGUCUGGUUAGUACUUGGAUGGGAGACCACCUAGGAAGACCAGGUGCUGUAGGCA
rnacentral:rRNA from 1 species